GGCUUGAGAGCUCAACUGGUCGAGCACUGCACCAGUAUUGCAGAGGUCAUGGGUUCGAAUCCUGUUCUAGCCU
rnacentral:tRNA from 1 species